rnacentral:lncRNA from 1 species
GCACUAGACUUAGUAGAAAACAAAAUAAAAAGGUUAAUAGUAAAAAAAAACAAUUGAAAAGUGAAAAUUAUGAUUUUUAGAGCAAUAAGAAUCUUGUCUCUAAUACCAUAUUAGACUUUAAAAUAUAUUUAUUCAUCAUGGUAACAUAAAUUAAUGUCCUAGAGAAAAUAGUUCAAUAUAAGAGAUUUUUUGGAACUUAUUCAAUACACGAGGUUGUAAACAUAAUCUUACUUAGAGACUAAAACAAUUAAAAAAAAAGAGACUACGACAAUUAAUAUAAUUGAGUAUUCAUAAAUAUAAUGAAAAAGAUUUGAAUAAUAAUAAAUUGUUGAUUAUCUGAGUUUUCUUUAUUAAAAAAAGCUUUAAAAUAUCAAAUAUUCAUUAGGUUUAACAGUGAACCACGGCUUAUUUUCUGCGGUCGACAUAUUUUAUUUCAUGAUCUCCAGUAAAAUAUUAUUCUAAAAAUGAAAAAGCAUAUUCAGAGAAAAAUAAAUAUUCCUGAUGUAACGUG